rnacentral:rRNA from 1 species
AACGAACGCUGGCGGCAGGCCUAACACAUGCAAGUCGAACGCCGUAGCAAUACGGAGUGGCAGACGGGUGAGUAACACGUGGGAACAUACCCUUCGGUUCGGAAUAACUCAGGGAAACUUGAGCUAAUACCGGAUACGUCCGCGAGGAGAAAGAUUCAUCGCCGGAGGAUUGGCCCGCGUCUGAUUAGCUUGUUGGUGAGGUAAUGGCUCACCAAGGCGACGAUCAGUAGCUGGUCUGAGAGGAUGAUCAGCCACAUUGGGACUGAGACACGGCCCAAACUCCUACGGGAGGCAGCAGUGGGGAAUAUUGGACAAUGGGCGCAAGCCUGAUCCAGCCAUGCCGCGUGAGUGAUGAAGGCCCUAGGGUUGUAAAGCUCUUUACCCGGGAAGAUAAUGACUGUACCGGGAGAAUAAGCCCCGGCUAACUUCGUGCCAGCCGCCGCAGU